rnacentral:rRNA from 1 species
GACAUAGGUGGCAAACGUUAUCCGGAAUUACUGGGCGUAAAGAGUGCGUAGGUGGUUCAAUAAGUUACUGGUGGGAAAUCGGGGCUCAACCUCGUGGAAGUCAGUAAUACUAUUAAACUAGAGGGUCGAAGAGGUUAACGGAAUUCUAUGUGUAGCGGUAAAAUGCUUAAAUAUAUAGAGGAACACCAAACGGCGAAGGCAGUUAACUAUUCGAUUCCUGACGUUGAGGCACGAAAGCGUGGGGAGCAAGACGG